rnacentral:rRNA from 1 species
AUUGAACGCUGGCGGCAUGCCUUACACAUGCAAGUCGAACGAGAUCUUCGGGUCUAGUGGCGCACGGGUGCGUAACGCGUGGGAAUCUGCCCUUUGGUUCGGAAUAACAGUUGGAAACGACUGCUAAUACCGGAUGAUGACGAAAGUCCAAAGAUUUAUCGCCAGAGGAUGAGCCCGCGUAGGAUUAGCUAGUUGGUGUGGUAAAGGCGCACCAAGGCGACGAUCCUUAGCUGGUCUGAGAGGAUGAUCAGCCACACUGGGACUGAGACACGGCCCAGACUCCUACGGGAGGCAGCAGUGGGGAAUAUUGGACAAUGAGCGAAAGCCUGAUCCAGCAAUGCCGCGUGAGUGAUGAAGGCCUUAGGGUUGUAAAGCUCUUUUACCCGGGAUGAUAAUGACAGUACCGGGAGAAUAAGCUCCGGCUAACUCCGUGCCAGCAGCCGCGGUAA